AUGUAUAUUCUUUAUUUGUUUGUUAUAGUGGCUGAAUGUGUAUCUUUAUUAGUUGAUUUCACGGAUGGUGAAGUGUUAAUAGUUAUUUGUGUUUGGUGAAAGGAAUAGAUUUGGUUGGCAAGCUGAAGAAAGACUUGAAGGUUGCAAUGAGGAAAGUAUGUUCACAUCAGUUGUAAAGGGGAGUCAUCAAAACUUGCAAAUUGGAAACAAACUCGACAACGAUGGAUAAACAAGAACAUGUUGUAAGUGACGAUGAACACGUUACCCGGGCUAAGGCGAAGCGUUAUGCCUGGUCCGGAUUCGGUAGGGAUCUUUACGUUUUCACAGAGUUGUAGUGGAGUGGCUGCUAGAGCCUGCGGUCUUGUAAGUUUGGAGCCGACAAAGGUCUUGAAAUGUGAGUAUCUUCUUCGUAGUGAAAUUAUUUCUCUGGCUCAGGUAAUGAAUUGUUGCUGUUAAAAACCAUAUUUAGACAAGUAUAAUUAGAGACUAAUAUCUUGGCUGAAAAGUUGCUAUGUUGAGUUGAAUGAUCACUACAGCAAGAUUUGCAAGCAAAUCCAAGUUCUCAUCAUGGGUAACUUUGUAUAAUCUCUCUUUUCCUUCUGCUUGAUAGGCUUAAGUUCUGCUUAACUGUUAAAACUACAUAUAUAAUUCAGAAGUGGCCUGGUUUGACUCUUACAUGCCCAUGCCAUUUAGCCUUUUUUACUUAUUUGUUCAUUCAUGUUUUUAGAAGUUAGUUUUUUUCUUAUAGCUGGUUGCUUCAAUGAAUUGGCCCCAAGUUACCAAAUACAAAAUUUUGGUAUCUGCACAACCACAUAGGAAGGAAGGAGAUUAUUUAAGACCUGUUCACCAAAAGGGGUGAAACUCAUGUAGACUUGAUUAGGUAAGGUUUAAUUGAUUUCGUUAAGAGAGUUAGUUGGACCUCAGUUGGGUUUGAUAUUUUUUAGGAGGUCACCUGGACAUAAACCUCAGCGAAUUAUUUGUUAUAGGUUUGGCAACUUAUUUCUUUUUUUAAUAACCCUUUAACUUAUUAGUUAAUGAUUGAUACUUCUAUUUAAUUUACAGAGACAGAAUAACUGAGGGACAAUUCAAUGAGGUUUUACUAAAUGAGAUGGACAACGUUCGUAAGGUUUCAUGAAAUUAAUGAAUCAUCGAUUGUGUUACAUGAGCUAUUUAUACUUUUGGCUCUUAGUACCAAUUCUACCGAUCUACCAACCCCUGCUUCUCGAUGGGCGUCAAAGUAGAUUUCGGCAAAUCGGUGGCUAGAUCCGUUCCUAUCCCAACUAAUAAGAUCGUAGUGUAAGUACCUACUUUUCCAAGCAUGUUUUACUAGCUGUCAAAAGGGAGUAAAGGCUACUUUAUCAAGUAGAAUCACUAAGGUUUACUUAUAUUAUUGUCAUUGGUAACAGUAACUAUACAUACAACUUUUGUCUCAUUCUGUUAUACUUCAUAAUAUGUUGGAGUGGGUCAAAAUUUAUGAAACGGGGGUUAAAGUGCACAGGUCCGGAGUUUAAAGGGAUCGAGUUCGAUUGAUUCACUCUGACAUAGGGACAGCUACACAGUUGGACAUAGUUGUAACAUUUGAGGAGGAUCAAGAGAUGCGCUGAACGCAAUAAGUGAAACCAAUGAUAAAUAUGAUUGCACUGCGAGCUUAGGUGCAGCCGAAGGGAAGUUUGGGACCAUUUGGUUUCACGGUUUUAGUUGAUGGCAUCCUUUCGGAGUUAACUCCGUUACCAACUUCUUCAGAUUCAAACUGUAAAUCUUCUCAUAUUACUCUUAAAACACUGAAAAAUUGAUUGCACAUCAAAAGUUAAAGGUCAAAAACUAAUUGACACAAUUAAUUGUAAUAAAAAUCAGUUUUAAUCCGUAUUGGAGAUAUUUAAAUGUUUCAUCGUGAUAUUUAAAUGUUUCAUCGUGGGGUAAUGUGUUUGGAUAAUGUUUUUGAGACUGAGUUUUAGUGGUUUGAAAUGAAGAAAAGGAAAAGUUAGAUGGUUGAAUUUUUCCAAAUAGGAGAUGGAAAAGAGGAAAAGGAGAAGCAAACCGAAACAAGUAAUAUACAUUAUCUUUGUUUGUUACGUUAGAGUAACGGGUAUUAAACUAGUUGAUAUAGUUCUAAUCAUGCA